ACAAUGAGCUAAUGGGCUUGGGCUUGAACUCUCUAAUAGAACUCAUCUCCGAUAAUUUUCCGAGAAAUGUCAAUAAGUAGGAGUUUGGGUCUCGAAAAUAACAGGACGUCGGCACCUUGUCGGAAACUAUCGAGAAAACGCGUUCUCGGAAAAUUCAUUGCUACCAGUUGUCCGUAGUUACAGACUAUGUUCCGACAAUUUUUUAAAAUUUAAUUUAAAAAAAUAAAUGCCAAAAUAACGGAAAAUUUAAAUAAAAUAGAAAUAAUAUAAAACAUGGAAUAUUACCCAAAUAUUAAUUACAUAAAAAUUUAAGAUAAACAUAAAAUUAUGUUUUCUCAAAAAAAAAAAUUAUAAUAAAGCUAAAUCUACAAUGUUGUUAAAAAGGAAGCUAAAUUUACAAUGGCGGUGAAAGAUUCUACUGAUUAGUGGCGGUGGUUUAUAAAAUAGCGACGGUGGUGUUGAUAGAAGAAACGACGCUGUAGUGGCUGUCGAAGAAGCGGCGACUAGCGAGUGUGGUGGCCGUGGUAGAAGCGGCGACUGGCGAGUGUGGUGGCCGUGGAAGAAGCGGCAACGGUGGUGGCAUGUAAGAAAUGGCGAUGGUGGUGGCCGUGAAAGAAGCGGCGACGGUGGUGGCAUGAAAGAAACGGCUACGGUGGUGGCCGCUGAAGAACGCGUAGUAUCAGAAUCCGAAACAGCAGUUAUCUUUUACAGAAAAAUGAAGCAGAUCUGGAAAAUAAAACAUGCAAAUCUAAGUAAAAGAGAUAGUAGGAACAGAAGAGAAGCAGAAGAUGUAAAGAAAAAGAACUAGAGAGAAGAUUAGAGAAGUUAAGAAAAAAAUAGAUUGAUUUUUAAAAAAUCUGAGAAGAUUGUAGAAGAAGAGAAGUAAAGAUUUAUGUGACAAAAAAAAAAGAGAAGAAAAGUAAAGAUAAAAGACAGAGAUGUAAAGAUAAACAAUGGAAAAGAUCGAUAAAAGAAUAUGAAUGGUUGUAAAAAAUCAUACUAGUAACUAAUUAAUUGGCAAAAUUAAUAAAAAAUGAUAAAAGUUGAUAAAUUUUAAAAUAAUAAAUGGUUCCGAUGAAUUCUUAACUACAUUAUGACGCUGUACCGAUGAAACAAUAUUGUUAUCGGUAUAUAUAAUUUGCCGAGAAACUUCCGAGAACAGCCUUCCGUUAAGAGCACCAUUAACCCUAACACUCCAUUUGGGGUAAAAAAGAAAGAAAAAAAACGAACCAAUCGCGAGCCGUCACGUGUCAGUGAGGCCCGCGAAACAGUACAAGACUCGACGCUUGAUCAGGCAUCUUUGACAUCGCUUCUUCCUCUCUUGCGGUGGAGCCCACUCCUUAGCACUCCCCUAAGCCCCCGCGUUAAUCAUGCCCUUAACUCCCGACAAAAUCUCUAUAUCGGAAUUUACCGAUCAGUUACCGACAAAAUUUGUGUAUCAUCGAUAUAUUAUCAAUAUUUCAUUGCUAUUUUUUCCGAUAACAGAAAUACUCAGAAAGUUUUGUCGGAGUAUGGAUAGUUUUUUUGUAGUGAAAUGCACCCCGCUAUUUUUUUAUCCCAUGAUUUAUACUGUAAUAUAUAUAUCAAAAAAUUAUUAUGACUAGCAAAGAAUUUAUUCCUACCUCAGCCGCUAAGAGCACCUUCAAUGGUGUUCUCGGUGGUUCGGAAUCAUAGGUAAACUUUUUAGAAUUUUUUAUUAUUAUUUUUUUUGUCCGUUUAAAAAAAAAAAUUUAAAACGGAACUAAUCGCGGAUCGCCACGUGUUGUGGAACCCGCGAAUAGUGUAAGGAUUCACUAAUAAUCAGUCCUUAAUUAAAGAUUUUAAGUAUCCAAUCCUUGACAAAAUGUAAGCUCCACCAAAUAUCUUAAUAUUAUUUUGCUAAAGAUUCUAGUCUAAAAUCUUUCAUUGGAUGUGCUCUAAUGGUGGGCAAGUAUCAUGGUCCUAAUGAUGAUUAUCAUAGGAUCACACAGAGAAGAGGAGUAUCAAUCAAGAAAGAAAUACUUUACCCUUAUCCCUUGCCCGAUUUUGCCGGCGUUUGAGACUUUUCACGUUCGACGGUCAUCUCUUUUUCUUUUAAACAUAUAAACGAAGUUGCACGAGAUCGACU
rnacentral:lncRNA from 1 species